UACAGAGGGGGCAAGCGUUGUUCGGAAUUACUGGGCGUAAAGGGCGCGUAGGCGGCCUUCUAAGUCGAACGUGAAAUCCCCGGGCUCAACCCGGGAACUGCGUCCGAUACUGGAAGGCUUGAAUCCGGGAGAGGGAUGUGGAAUUCCAGGUGUAGCGGUGAAAUGCGUAGAUAUCGGGAAGAACACCCGUGGCGAAGGCGGUUCUCUGGGCAUGAUCUGACGCUGAGGAGCGAAAGUGUGGGGAGCGAACAGG
rnacentral:rRNA from 1 species